rfam:Picea glauca, whole genome shotgun sequence.
UCUUAUGUACAUGCCUAUGAUGUUAUUGCAAUGAAUUCCAUUAGAACUAUGCAAUUAAGCACACUUGGGCUAGAGUAGCACUAAGAUGGGUGACCUCUCGGGAAGCCCUGAUGUUUUACAUGCC